rnacentral:rRNA from 1 species
GUGAACGCUGGCGGUAGGCCUAACACAUGCAAGUCGAACGGCAGCACAGUAAGAGCUUGCUCUUACGGGUGGCGAGUGGCGGACGGGUGAGGAAUACAUCGGAAUCUACUUUUUCGUGGGGGAUAGCGUAGGGAAACUUACGCUAAUACCGCAUACGACCUACGGGUGAAAGCAGGGGAUCUUCGGACCUUGCGCGAUUGAAUGAGCCGAUGUCGGAUUAGCUAGUUGGCGGGGUAAAGGCCCACCAAGGCGACGAUCCGUAGCUGGUCUGAGAGGAUGAUCAGCCACACUGGAACUGAGACACGGUCCAGACUCCUACGGGAGGCAGCAGUGGGGAAUAUUGGACAAUGGGCGCAAGCCUGAUCCAGCCAUACCGCGUGGGUGAAGAAGGCCUUCGGGUUGUAAAGCCCUUUUGUUGGGAAAGAAAAGCAGCAGGUUAAUACCCCGCUGUUCUGACGGUACCCAAAGAAUAAGCACCGGCUAACUUCGUG